UGGGGAAUUUUGGACAAUGGGCGAAAGCCUGAUCCAGCCAUGCCGCGUGAGUGAAGAAGGCCUUCGGGUUGUAAAGCUCUUUCGGCGGGGAAGAAAUCGCAUUCUCUAAUACAGGAUGUGGAUGACGGUACCCGAAUAAGAAGCACCGGCUAACUACGUGCCAGCAGCCGCGGUAAUACGUAGGGUGCGAGCGUUAAUCGGAAUUACUGGGCGUAAAGCGUGCGCAGGCGGUUUCGUAAGACAGACGUGAAAUCCCCGGGCUCAACCUGGGAACUGCGUUUGUGACUGCGAGGCUAGAGUUUGGCAGAGGGGGUGGAAUUCCACGUGUAGCAGUGAAAUGCGUAGAGAUGUGGAGGAACACCGAUGGCGAAGGCAGCCCCCUGGGCCAAUACUGACGCUC
rnacentral:rRNA from 1 species